AGUCGUCUGAUGACGUGUCGAGGCUGACUACGUCACAUCGGCGCUUGCAGCUGUGAUCAGAAUAAACAUGUGGACUUCAGUGAUAUAUCUCGGAAUUUAACUCGUUUACAACCAGCGUGGACAGAAAUCGGCAUAGGAUUCAACUGAACAAGGGUUACUUAGGCAGUAGAUGGUCCACUGAAAACACUUGUUGGGAUGUUGAUAAAAAGUAUUGGUUUUCUUAUCAACUGGACUACCUCCUAAUAUCAAAAAGACAGAAGAGAAGAACAUGUAGUGUGCAAGAAGAAUUGUCAAUUCCAUAAAUUCCACUUUAUGACUGAAAAAUACUAAAAAUCAGAAAACACUAGUCUUGUUGAACAGUUUGUCACAGUGAAGUAAAAUCUAUAGUAUUUGUAAAGUUGAUUAUUAAAAUAAAUUAUUGAUAAUAUU
rnacentral:sRNA from 1 species